UACGAAGGGGGCUAGCGUUGCUCGGAAUCACUGGGCGUAAAGGGUGCGUAGGCGGGUCUUUAAGUCAGGGGUGAAAUCCUGGAGCUCAACUCCAGAACUGCCUUUGAUACUGAAGAUUUUGAGUUCGGGAGAGGUGAGUGGAACUGCGAGUGUAGAGGUGAAAUUCGUAGAUAUUCGCAAGAACACCAGUGGCGAAGGCGGCUCACUGGCCCGAUACUGACGCUGAGGCACGAAAGCGUGGGGAGCAAACAGGG
rnacentral:rRNA from 1 species